rnacentral:lncRNA from 1 species
GUGUGAUUCAAAUUAUAGGACAGCAGUGCCCAUUUUCAAGGUAGUAUUUAGCAGAGUUUCACACAGAUAUCUUUUUCUUUUUUUUUAAUAGUCCAUUUCUACUGGAAGUAGAGGGGCAAAAGAGUGACAAGCCUUAAAGCCACCCAGGAACUGCUCCUGCCCAAAAGAGCUGACAAGUGUAAGAAAGAAAGUAAACAGAGAGAACUACUACUGCUUGAAAUGGAGAAAGGACCUUAAAUGUAAUCCAGAGCAAGUGUUUUCCUGGCUGUUUGGAGGUCAGAAUGAGGACAUUCCUUUAUCCCAGUGA